rnacentral:lncRNA from 1 species
UUAUCCAGACCAAUCACAAUACUCCUCGUUCAACCUACCAACCCCUCCACACUUUGUCAACUAUCCCCAAACAAGCUAUGCACUUCAAUGGCCAAAUUCACAAACAAAUACCAUAGAAAAUCUGGCAGCAGGGUUUAAUGACGAUGACUUCGUUAAUGAAAUCUGGACCAACUCAGCUUCACAAGUGCAAAAUGAAGUCGCUAUGGAAACUAACGAUGAUGCUGAAAUUCUUGACGAGGAUGUGGAAGAGGAAGAGGAAGAGGAAGAGCAACACCAACGACCCGUACGGAACAAAAAAGAUAAAUUAUGUGCUACGGGAGGUCAUAGUUUACAUUGGCGUAAUUGAUUUCUGCGGAG